rnacentral:rRNA from 1 species
CGGCCAGACUCCUACGGGAGGCAGCAGUGGGGGAUAUUGCACAAUGGGGGGAACCCUGAUGCAGCGACGCCGCGUGAGUGAAGAAGUCUUUCGGUAUGUAAAGCUCUAUCAGCAGGGAAGAAAAUGACGGUACCUGACUAAGAAGCCCCGGCUAACUACGUGCCAGCAGCCGCGGUAAUACGUAGGGGGCAAGCGUCAUCCGGAUUUACUGGGUGUAAAGGGGGCGCAGACGGCAGCGCAAGCCAGGAGUGAAAGCCCGGGGCCCAACCCCGGGACUGCUCUUGGAACUGCGCGGCUGGAGUGCAGGAGGGGCAGGCGGAAUUCCUGGUGUAGCGGUGAAAUGCGUAGAUAUCAGGAGGAACACCGGUGGCGAAGGCGGCCUGCUGGACUGCAACUGACGUUGAGGCCCGAAAGCGUGGGGAGCAAACAGGAUUAGAUACCCUCGUA